GUGCUCGCUUUGGCAGCACAUAUUACUAAAAUUGGAACAAUACAGAGAAGAUUAGUAUGGCCCCUGUGCAAGGGGCAAAAGAAACUUUAGGUAGCAACUUCAGUAGUU